ensembl:lncRNA
AGAGGGAGAGGAGAAGAGAGGCAGAGGAGAAGAGAGGGAGAGGCAGAGGAGAAGAGAGGGAGAGGCAGAGGAGAAGAGAGGGAGAGGCAGAGAGAGAAGAGAGGCAGAGGAGAAGAGAGGGAGAGGCAGAGGAGAAGAGAGGCAGAGGAGAAGAGAGGGAGAGGCAGAGGAGAAGAGAGGGAGAGGCAGAGGAGAAGAGAGGCAGAGGAGAAGAGAGGGAGAGGCAGAGGAGAAGAGAGGCAGAGGAGAAGAGAGGGAGAGGCAGAGGAGAAGAGAGGGAGAGGCAGAGGAGAAGAGCGGGAGAGGGAGAGGAGAGGUGUCAUCAGCCCCGGUGGAGAGACCUCCCUCAGCCUGCCUGCCGCAAUCUCUCCCCAACACCUGCUCCAGCUCCAGAUGAGAUCAGCAG